UUGCUUCAGCAGCACAUACACUAAAAUUGGAAUGAUACAGAGAAGAUUAGCAUGGCCCCUGCCCAAGGAUGACAUGCAAAUCUGUGAAGCACUCCAUAUUUUU
rnacentral:snRNA from 1 species